AAGACCCGGCGGCGGUGCGCGGCGGCGCCCGGCGGAGCGCUCCAGUCUUGCCCGAGGUUGACGCGUAGGAGGGCCGACGUGCUUACGUCUACCCAUCGCCGCUGCUGCGGACUAGCGGACAGCGUUCGGCUGAUGGCGUCAUUUCCGCGAGUCAUCUGAGGAAGACCAUCUCCUCCUGAGCUGUUCUGAAGAGAAGAAGAAAAAGUCAAAGCUUCUUUCCUUCCCUGGAUCCUAAAGUUCUCACCAAAAUGAAAUUACCAGCACCCCCAAAUGUGCUGUAUAAUUCCUUCUACUUGCUCCUUGAAUUCUAUAUAUCUGCAAUUUAAUCUCAUGUCCAUAUUCUGUCAUGAAAGAUUCAACCUGAAGAUCCUACCAUGAAAAGAUCACUUGCUUUUCUGGACUGUGUAGCAAAAGUAACGUGGAGUGGUAUUGGUCAGACUUUGGUACCAAUAUGAGCUUUAUCACUUAAUAGUUUAUGUAACAACCUCAGGCAAGUUACUGAAUUUCUGAAUUUCAGCUCUCGCAUUUGUGGGAGACACCAUUAGUGGCCUAAAUGAUAUUCAAUGAAUUCUUUCUCUCUUAUUAAAACACAAUUUUUCUUGGGGUGGUAAUGUGCCCUUUAAAAAGAGCUACAGUAAAAGAAAAAUAAAAUAAAAAAUAAAAAGAGAUACAUUUCCUAGCAUCCCUGUAACUAGGGUGAUUAUACAACAGUUCUAAACAGUAAGUUAAAAGUAGAAGUUACUGUUGGAUCUUCUGAGAAAGACCUUUGGCUUACUCACCUAGCUCAGACCUUUUGCCUAUUCUAUUCUUCCUGUCUGAACUCUGAUCAAUGCUGGAGGUGGAGCAACCACCUCUGGCCAGUCUGGAAGACUGCCUUUGGACUUAGUUUCACAGAAAAAAGAAAAAACUCUUUAUUUGGUUAAGCCAACAUAAUCAUGUCUCUAUUGUGACCAGCCAAAGGUGCUCCCUAACAGGACUUCCCUGGUGGUGCAGUGGUUAAGAAUCUGCCUGCCAGUGCAAAGGACACGGAUUCGAUCCCUGGUCCAGGGAGAUCCCACAUGCCGCGGAGCAACUAAGCCUGUGAGCCACAACUACUAAGCCUGCGCUCUACAACCCGUGAGCCACAACUACUGAGCCCCCGAGCCACAACUACUGAGCCCGCGUGCCGCAACUACUGAAGCCCAUACACCUAGAGCCCGUGCUCCACAACAAGAGAAGCCACUGCAAUGAGAAGCCCACACAUUGCAAAGAAGAGUAGCCCCUGCUCACCGGAACCAGAGAAAGCCCGUGCGCAGCAACGAAGACCCAACACAGCCAAAUUUUAAUUAAUUAAUUAAUUUAAAAAACAAACAAACAAACAAAAAAGAUGCUCCCUAACAGAUACACCAUCUUGAAAGUUAAGGAUAAAGCUUAUGCUUCAGGAUUUUAAAGCUCAUUAUUAAUAAAACUAAUUAUAAAAAUUAACAUAUAUUGAGAAGCAUAUAUCAGACUCUGUUUAAGAUCUUAACACGGGUUAACUCACUAAAUCCUCAUAACAAUUCAGUUAGGUAGCUACUACUACUAUUCCCUCAGAUUAAAAAAAUGAAAAACUGAAAGUCUCAGUAACCUGUCCAGCUAAUAAAGAGGAAGUAGGAUUCAAACCCUAGCAUAUGCUCCUAACCACAAGUCCAAGCUAUAAUAAUAAAAAAACACUUACUUCAUGCCAGGCAAAAUGCCAAGUGCUUUAACCAAAAAAUAUAAAGCACUAAGUCCAAUGUCCAGUGCUCAUUAAAAU